rnacentral:rRNA from 1 species
UACGUGAGGGUGCGAGCGUUUGUCCGGAAUUACUGGGCGUAAAGAGCUCGUAGGUGGUUUGUCGCGGUUGUCCGUGGAAACUCACAACUCAAUUGUGGGCGUGCGGGCGAUACGGGCAGACUGGAGUACUGCAGGGGGAGACUGGAAUUCCUGGUGUAGCGGUGGAAUGCGCAGAUAUCAGGAGGAACACCGGUGGCGAAGGCGGGUCUCUGG